UGGGGAAUUUUCCGCAAUGGGGGCAACCCUGACGGAGCAACGCCGCGUGGGGGAGGAAUGUCUGUGGAUUGUAAACUCCUUUUCUCAGGGAAGAAGUUCUGACGGUACCUGAGGAAUCAGCAUCGGCUAACACCGUGCCAGCAGCCGCGGUAAUACGGAGGGGGCAAGCGUUGUUCGGAUUUACUGGGCGUAAAGGGCGCGUAGGCGGGGUAUCAAGUUAGGGGUGAAAGCCCGGGGCUCAACCUCGGAACUGCCUUUAAAACUGAUACUCUAGAGUCCGGAAGAGGGUCGCGGAAUUCCCAGUGUAGAGGUGAAAUUCGUAGAUAUUGGGAAGAACACCGGUGGCGAAGGCGGCGACCUGGUCCGGUACUGACGCUGAGGCGCGAAAGCGUGGGGAGCAAACAGGAUUAGAUACCCGGGUAGUCC
rnacentral:rRNA from 1 species